UACGGAGGGUGCGAGCGUUAAUCGGAAUUAUUGGGCGUAAAGGGUACGUAGGCGGGUGUAUAAGGUGACUGUGAAAGACCUGGGCUCAACCUGGGUUGGACGGUUAAGACUGUAUAUCUGGAGUAUAGGAGAGGGUAGUGGAAUUUCCGGUGUAGCGGUGAAAUGCGUAGAGAUCGGAAGGAACACCGGUGGCGAAGGCGGCUACCUGGCCUGAUACUGACGCUGAGGUACGAAAGCGUGGGGAGCAAACAGG
rnacentral:rRNA from 1 species